UUGACUCUAGGAGCUGCACACAUGUGCACAGCUGGCAGCAGCUGCAGCUGCUUCACACAAGCCAUCAGGCUGCCACCAUGGCUAUCUACAGGGACUCAAGCUACAGGAAGCCAGUGCCCAACGUUCUGGGUUCCCCACUAAAGUGCAACAUGCCUCUUCUGAAGUAGGGGUGCAGAGAAACGUCCCCAUCCCCGUCCUAGGUUUCUAGUCUGCACUGGGCAGCUGGGCCACUGAAUGGCAUGUGCCUCAGGAAGAACAUGUCUUUGAACAGUCAGAAUCUCUGAGACUGGCAGUGACAGCGGGUGCCCAACAGGCCUGUGGUGCGGCCUCAUCCCUCUGGCUCCUUUCCCAUGACUCUGGACUCUGCAGGCAGGAGGAGGCCAAACAGAUGGGACAGGACACGGCCAGCCACAGCGUGACCUCCAACACCACUGGUGGUCUUGUUCCAGUCUGCUCUCCUUGUUCCAGUGCUCUUCUAAAGCCCACUGGUGAGGAAGAGGUACACUCAGGCCUUCUCAAGUGGGAGAAUAAAGGCUGGCAGAAAUUGCAGGAGCCCCUCCGCAUUGCUGAGUUGCUAAACCCCACUCUGACUUCUUCAUCUUAAAUGUCCGGUAGUAACACUGACAGCAAAGAUCCUGACCUACCACACGGGACCUUCCAGGCAGAGAGGUGGCUCACCCAAGCCCAUAGAUGCCAUGAGGGUGGAGAACAAAGAAUGCUGGUCUGCGAAGAAGGAAGGGAGAAGGUAUGCGUUCACUGCCAUGAUUCAACUGAGCACAUCUCACAGGGCUUCCACACCAUCCCUAUCCGAGGCUUUUCCAAGGAUGACACUGUGCACAUGGAUGUGCACACAGUAGGCAUUUCAUACUCUUUUUUGAGUGAAUGAAUUGGAGGAGGGAAUGUGUGUGCAUUAAGACAAACUCAGUUGUGCCAAAAGAAGUUUCUAGGCAGGUACAAGGCUGUGGCUCUGUGGUUGUAUCUUGAGAGUAAAGCUGAGAAGGUGGGCAGUGAAUCACAUACUCUAGCAACCCCUGGUCAACAGCAGCUUGGGGCAAGGUGUUGGGAGCAGAGAGCACUGUGGGUGAUGCUCAGGAGGAAUCAGCCUGGCCCUCCAGGACAGCUUCUGAGGAACAAAACUGCAGGCAGUGACAAGAGGGCCCUACAAAUGAAGCCCUCUUCUCUUCAGUCAGACAUUUAGCCUACCAAUGUAGCAUGGGAAGUCAAAGGACUUAAAGAAGAGCGAGCAGGGUGACCACUGUGAACAUCCUUCUCCUGUCAACUAAAAGCAGUGCAGGCGAGACAGGCAACAGGCUGAGAGCUAAGCUGCAUGAAGCUGGCCUGUACCUGGGGCUCAUGAUGGUAAACAGGAGGGCAGCGCGGGCGGGCGCAGAGAGGAGUACUCGUUCUUCUCUUUGUCCCUGGUCACCUCCUCCCUCCUUCUGUAACCCUCUGAGGAGAAAGCACUCGUGCUAAAGCUUCAGCUCCAAGCUCCCAGAGCACGGAAUCUGAGUGGGCUCCAGAUGAGCUGAGUGGCUUCUGGCUUCCUGUUUCUGGAAGGGCAGAGUGCAGCUCACAGCACUCCACUGCUGAUGCCAAGGGCAGUUCUUCAUGGAGACCAGGGAGACUUGAGCAGGCAACAUUCAAAGCAGAAGGCAGAGUACGAUGACAGACACCGACGGCCGGACUGGCACAUCCAGCUGGCAGAGUCUGGUGUGGUGGCGGCUCAGACACCUGUUCCUCAGGUUCCCUCUCUGGUUCCUUGGUCACCCUCCUUGUCAGGAGCACAUCAGGAGGACUCUUCCAGGGCAUUGACCACUUGUUCGAGGAUGUCAGGGCAGUGAUCGGCUAUUUGCUGGAGAAUGGUGUUGGCAAACUCCUGCAGCUCGGCGUUGUCCCCUUCAACUUUCUCCAACUCGUUCUGAAGCUGAAAGGGAAAAGAGGCAGGGUUCAGGUGGAGUUCAGAUUAUUUGUACCGAGUGGGAAUUCAUCAGGAAAGAAAUGACAAGCAGAGUUGAUGUCCCUGUAUCAAAAGGAAUGGUCAAAACACACACAUUCCUAGACUCUCUUCAUGAAAGUAAGGCCCAGAGGAGUCAGUGCUGAGUCCAAGGCUGCACACUGUAACGUCCAGUGCUGACUUCAUGUGGAUGGCUGUGCCCAGGCAUCCAGACUCACAGGCCUGGGUGAUUGAGGAUCUCAACUUUGUGUGAAGCUCUUCCACAAAGAUUUCCCUUUGCUACAAACAGCUGUGUUUCUGUAGGGGCCUCAGGCAGCUUGGUUAUUCUGAUAGAUAUCCUAGCCCACUGCUGAGGAGAGACACACCCCCAAUGUGCUGUUCUCAGUCGCCCCGGACUGUCCUCCUCUAACUAGCGUCACCAGUGCCCUGUGUGAGGUCUGAAAGGCCGAGGAGCGAGUCCCUGUGCUGAAACUCCUUGUAGGCUGACAGCAGGACAAGAACAUCAACAUGUAAGUCACAACCCAGUCCAGUGCACACAGAGGCUUGAGGACAUACUGGGAGAGAAGACACAUGGUUACUUCACUCUGGGCCGUAUGAGAAGCCACUAAAGGUGGUGAGGAUCUGGGUCACUUGGGAGAUCAGAGGCAGAUCAAAGAAACCUCGGGUAAGCUGGAUCCUACAAUGAGGUGGGGGUGGGGGUGGGGUUGGGGGUAUGGAGUUGAAGAGAUAGGCAAGGGCCAGACUCCAAGAGAAGCUAGACGCAAACCCCAACUGGUGCAAACUACAAGGAAAUCAUGUGCUUUUAAACGACAUACUGGCCCUGCUCUCGUCUUCUUAGAAGGUGACUUGGAAGGUUAGGAAAAAGCAGAUCAGUGGGCAGCAGGCAACACCCAGGGGUGAGCUUUGUAAGCACAAGGCAGACUCACACAGGGGACAGAAGAGGCACCCAUGAGAACAGAAACCACCUGUGAUGGGCUAGCGUGGAAUGAGUGGGUAACAUGGCUCUCAAAUUAUAAAAUAUUUUGUAGAAGAGCUGCUUCUAUUUUGUAGAAGGCAGGGUUCCAGGGGAGGGAGGAGGGAAACUGAAAACCGAGUGUCAAGUAUACAGUUCAGGUCCCAGUUUAGAACACAGCCUGGAUCUCAGUGUCAGCUCUGCCAUUUAUUGGCUGAUGUGACCCUGAUCUCCCUCCCCUUCAGUAGGAUAGACCAGUAAUAUUUUCACAGGGCAGUUUUAUUAGAGGAUUUAAUGACAAUCUCAUACGAAAGGCAGGGUAAUGCCCACUGCACUGAAAAUUCUUGAAAAAGGUUAACUACUGUAAUUACUGUUAUCAAGCGGAGAAGAUGACCCAGAAAAAGUAGAUUAAGUGGCAAAGAGAACCAAGUUUUCAGGACCCCACUGUUUGUUGACUAGACAUUCUGAGCCAUGAAUGAGCUUGGUACUUCUCAAGUGCAGCCAUCAGAGGGAGACUGGCAAUCUUCUUUCUGUUGACUGUUGACCCUGAUCUGGAGGCUCAAGAACCAUAUUUAGACCACGUUAAGCCUUAGUGCAUCUUUAAAAGAUUCAAGGCAGGAGUUAAACUAAUCCAUUUUCACCUAACAAUAUACUGUGCUUCCAAAUCAAAUCUCCAAAGCUGGCACAUAACUGACCUUGGGAAUGGGCUCUAGGGCCCAGUGCAUGCUGGGCAAACACGACGGCUGAGCUGCGAACCCAGCAUCCACAAGGAUAUGUUAAAGAAGAAAGUAAAAACACUAUAAAACACACUAGCUAGAGGGCACUAUAUUAGUAUCAUAGUAUCCACUGGAUUUUGUAUUAGUUCCCUGCCCCCCACCCCGAAAAAAUACCUGACACAAACCACUUUAAAGGAGUGACUUAUUUCAGCUCAUGGUUUUAGAGGGCUUGAUCUAUAGUCAGGUGCUAAGGGCUUGGCACCAGAUGGGAGCAUUACUGAGAUGGCUGAACCUUUAAGGGGUCCAAAGUUUUAGGCUCCUAGGAGGAGCUGUGCCUUUGCAGGGGACUGUGGGACUUUGGGCUGACCUUUCUUUGUGUGUGUGUGUGUGUACUCCAGCCACAACAUGAGCACUAGCUGCCCUGCUACAGGUCCAACAGCAAUAUGGCAACUGCUCGUGAGUGCAAUCUCUGAAGCGGAGACCAGCAUGCCUCCUUUCUCUGUGAGACGACAGGCUUGUUACGGGGAGGGAGCUGACACACAUCCUCUAUUUUAUGGAAUGGCAAACCAACUCCCUUACUGUAGAUAUUAUAGUGAAAAAUAC
rnacentral:lncRNA from 1 species